ACGGGUGAGUAAUACGUGAGAAUCUACCUUUUAGUGAAGAAUACCUUCGAGAAAUUGAAGUUAAUACUGCAUACGUCCUACGGGAGAAAGAUGGCCUCUUUGCUGUCGCUAAAAGAUGAGCUCACGCACUAUCAGCUAGUUGGUGGGGUAAAGGCCUACCAAGGCUAUGACGGUUAGCCGGCCUGAGAGGGUGUACGGCCACACUGGAACUUAGACACGGUCCAGACUCCUACGGGAGGCAGCAGUGGGGAAUAUUGCGCAAUGGGCGAAAGCCUGACGCAGCGACGCCGCGUGGAGGAUGAAGGUCUUCGGAUUGUAAACUUCUGUUAAGUGGGAAGAAAGAUUUACGUUUAAUACACGUAGGGAAUGACGGUACCAUUAGAGAAAGCACCGGCUAACUUCGUGCCAGCAGCCGCGGUAAUACGAAGGGUGCAAGCGUUAUUCGGAAUUAUUGGGCGUAAAGGGUGCGUAGACGGUAUGUUAAGUCUGUUGUUAAAUUUUCUGGCCUAACCGGAAAUCUGCAGUAGAUACUGAUGUACUAGAGGAUGGAAGAGAGAAGUGGAAUUCUCGGAGUAGCGGUAAAAUGCGU
rnacentral:rRNA from 1 species